rnacentral:rRNA from 1 species
UACAGAGGUCCCAAGCGUUGUUCGGAUUCAUUGGGCGUAAAGGGUGCGUAGGCGGCGCGGUAAGUCGGGUGUGAAAUCUCGGGGCUUAACUCCGAAACUGCAUUCGAUACUGCCGUGCUUGAGGACUGGAGAGGAGACUGGAAUUUACGGUGUAGCGGUGAAAUGCGUAGAUAUCGUAAGGAAGACCAGUGGCGAAGGCGGGUCUCUGGACAGUUCCUGACGCUGAGGCACGAAGGUCAGGGGGGCAAACGGG